GACGAACGCUGGCGGCGUGCUUAACACAUGCAAGUCGAACGGAAAGGCCCUGCUUUUGUGGGGUGCUCGAGUGGCGAACGGGUGAGUAACACGUGAGUAACCUGCCCUUGACUUUGGGAUAACUUCAGGAAACUGGGGCUAAUACCGGAUAGGAGCUCCUGCUGCAUGGUGGGGGUUGGAAAGUUUCGGCGGUUGGGGAUGGACUCGCGGCUUAUCAGCUUGUUGGUGGGGUAGUGGCUUACCAAGGCUUUGACGGGUAGCCGGCCUGAGAGGGUGACCGGCCACAUUGGGACUGAGAUACGGCCCAGACUCCUACGGGAGGCAGCAGUGGGGAAUAUUGCACAAUGGGCGGAAGCCUGAUGCAGCAACGCCGCGUGCGGGAGGACGGCCUUCGGGUUGUAAACCGCUUUCGCCUGUGACGAAGCGUGAGUGACGGUAAUGGGCAAAGAAGCACCGGCUAACUACGU
rnacentral:rRNA from 1 species